CUCAGUAGCAGGUAAUCUUUGGGCGGGUGAACUUUCCUCGCGCGCCGCGCGUCCCGUGGCUGGGGCGAGGAGCCCAUUGGACAUAACCGCACCAAACCCUAGCCCCCCCAUCCACAGCCACCCGCUCCUUCACACAGCCGCCGCACCAUUCCUCCCUUCCGCCCCCUCCUCCUUCCCGGAUCCCCACCACGGCGCCGACCUGCAGGCAAAGGGCGAUAGCGGCGGAGCUCAGUUAGAUCUGUAGGAGAGAGAAGAUGAGAGGGAGAGAGAGGAGGGAGAAAGAGAGGAAGAGGAGAGGAGGCACGGCAUCGGAUGGGAGAGUGGCCAACCCGGCUCACGUUGGCUGGGGCCGCACCCCUCCCUGAAGGGCGGCGAUGAUGGAGGGAUCCGCGGCGCCAUCCAGGCUCCCGACCGACGGACUCGCUGGGUCGCGCCCAUCCCGUGCGGCGGGGACAUACAUGGCGGCGCGGGCUGGGGACCAAGCGGCGGGGCCCGUGGUGCAUUCGGUCGAGGGAUUGGUCGGGCCGGUGCGGGAUCUUAGCCACCGUCGAUGGAUUUCUCGCAGCUUGGCUACUUGUUGCUUUGGAUCCGGGAGUGAGUCAAGUGACAUACAGACACAAGAAAUAUUCAGUUAUGAGGAUUGAAGAAAUUAAUGAUCAUUCAGUCAUUGAGGAUUUCAUAAGAGACAUCAAUGUUCCAGUAGAGGUGUUAUUGAAGUUGUGGCUGAAUAGUCCUUUUAUUGAUGCUAAGUAUAUGGGCACCAUAACUCUAAUCCGACAUGAGCAGUCCAACCACGACAGUGAGCAGUGGAACCGCAAGAUAGAGGUAGAUACACGUAGAAUAUAACUAGUCAUAUUUCUAAAAUGAUCACACUACUUAUGGUGCCGGAAGAGAAGGCAUCAGUGAUAGUGGGCUAGGUGAUGAGGGCAUCAAUACAAAGAGAUUAAUUCAUAACUUUGUUCUUGAUAGGUUGUACAAAUAUACAAGGUACUGCUGUUUCCUUUUAUGUUUAAAUAGCUUUGUGAGUACAACUAUAUGAAAAUUCUGCGAUUCAUGGUGCGGAAGCGGGCAUCUUUGUUUUCCUGACCAAAAAUACUUAGUUUCAUGCCUCCACGGUAUAAUUUAGAGGCACAGUCCAAUGAGAGAUUCCUACUUAGCUAGCUAAUAUAUAACAUUUGACGGUAAUGUCUUGUGUUGUAAAUACAAAAUAUGCUACAUGAGCAUUACUUUUAUUUUGAAUUUAAUUUUGUGUUUGAGCCUCUUUUACAUAUUAAGUGUAAUAUCACAGACUUUCUUCUUUCAGGGUUAACUGGCCAUGCAAAAACUGUUGUGAGGCAUUAAAUGGUACUAUAUGUUUUUGGCCUGCUUUUGUUCACUUUUGUCCUUUCCAAAGUGUAAUAGGAAGAGAAAGUCAAAAUAGGCUCAACCAUGACUAGUCUGCUCUUGUGAUCACCAAUUUCUGCUCCAUUGCGCACAAGAAAGUAGUGACUAUUUAUUUGCUUAAACAAUAUGUCCAACCACCAAUUUCUGCCUGUCCUGCUAAUAUUCCUUUAUGGAUGUAUCGCACAAAUUUUAGUUAUUGGAUAUGAAAUGUAGGUUCUCUACUCAGAACUGGGUCCAAUGGUCAAUGCAGCUCUAUGUUGUGCUAUCUUGCUAUUGGGCUCUUUUUUCGUUACUUAAAAUGGUCAGAUAUCUCUGAUGUUAAAUUCGUGGUUGAUUGCUUAUAUCCAAAAUAACUAUGUUAGUACACUGAAGCCAAUUUCUACAUUGUUAGUGAAGUUGGCUAAAUAGUUUUUGCGCCACUAAGAUAUAUAUGUGCACUGCAUUCUAACCCUGCAAAUUCUUGUGCUAUUAGUUUAAUCCGAAAUAUAAUUAUGUUUGUGUCUCGACAUAUGCUUGUGAUGCGUCGUGCUACCAGAGGCCAACAUUAUCCAGUAUCAUAGUGACGCUAAAAAUGCCUAUUGGUUACUCCGCAUAUUCUCAUCUGAUUUCUCAUAUAUAGAUAUUAAUUUCCUUUCAUGGGAGGCCUUCAUUACAUUUCAGCGGCAGUUGCGGUUGAGGGAGGGUCUCUGACUAGAGCAGCAGGAGCAAGGAGCUCAAGGAGGUUCAGGUUUGCCUCUACAUCCUCUCUCUUUCCUCCACUUUGUUCUUGCAUUUAGAGGAUACAACUUGUGAUCAUGUUAUAUUCUGCUUUUGUCAGUUUGCUGGUCCAUAUUAAUUUCCUCGAGCUUAUUUUCACAUCUCGUCAUAUUUACACCUCUCCGCCGACUGCCACCUAUCAUGGAGGGAGAUGGCUUGGCCAGGCCGUCAACACCCAUCGGCAACUUCCGGCAGGCGCCGUCCGUACUUCUGCAUGUAAACUGAAUUGAUUUACCAGUAAAAAUCUGGACAACUCAUUCCAGUCGAUAAUAACCAUUGUGGCAUUACCAUGAUAUGUCAUGUAUCUGCUCUGAGUUGUACUAUGUUGCAAAAAGUACAAUAAGAGAUAGAAUGUAUGCACUAUGGCUAGCAGUAACUUUUUUUUGACUUGUACAACAUUUGAUCUAUCUAUUUCUGCAGGCUAUUCCUCUUGUUGCAACCUUUUCCCCUAGAAUCAAAAGGAAUUAGAUUGAAGAAAUUGCAGGAGGUACUACUGCGUGUUCCAUUAGUCUUACUUUUGGAGGCUUGUCUAUAUAUAGUCUUAGUGUCAGUGUGUCAAUAGUAGUAUUAGUUUUGGAGGCUUGUCUAUAUUCAUCUUAUUUUUUGGAUUACGUUUCUUUCCACCUGCAUCCUCUCUUCAUAAUGGAUUACGUUUCUUUGUUAUUGCCAUGUGUUACUUUUUCUUAUGACUGUGACCGUCAGUGCCCUUAACAGUGGUUGUUCUUGCUUUAUGACUGCCUUCUCAGUGCACUUUUAUUAGUUCUAAUACAUUAAUAUAAUAUGCUCGAUUGACCAUAUUAAUUAUAUAUUUCACUUCACCGGGGCUGUUGGUCGAAGUGUUGGUUAAAAUAUUUUGGUGGUAGUGUAUAAAAUUAAUUGUUGUACAGCAUUGUUAAGUGCACUUUUGAGCUUUGAGUAGACAACUGUGGUCAUAAUUACCUUAAAGGAUUGUUAGUAUGUAUUAUUGUUGGAUUUCCAUGUUCGGUUAUUCACACUAUAUUAUUGCUUGAUUCUGAUAGCUUGCUAUUAUUAGAGCGGGAAGGGUAUUCCUGGUGUCACAUUCAAAAGCGGUCAAAACGGUGAGGUUUACGGAGGAGCUCCGUGGAAUUAUCGAUAAAAAAUUAUCCAUAACAUGUCUGUCAUUGCUCAUGUCGACCACGGUAUGUGACCGAGCAGUGACAGUUGUCUCUAAUUAUCAAUUUUAUAUAGAGUCUUCUUGAUUGAUGAUUUUGUAGCCUUCUCUUAGUUGUACCAUAUUAAUUCUUAAAACUGGAUCAUUUAAAAUUAGUUAGAUUUAAUGAGUUGUUCCACUGUUUCCAAAUAAGUAGUUUAAGCCCUUAUUGCGUUCUGGAGCUUAUUCUUUCUGCCUUUUUAUGAUUGAUAUAUGCUCUCACAAGCUUAAAUGUAACUAUUGACAUAUAAUCUCAUGGCUCAAAGUCUUAGUUGUUGAAUGUAUUAAAAUUUAUAAGAUCUGGAGUUUGCACUAUAAUUUCAUCCAGCGGUAUUCCCAGUAACUGAAUGUUAAGAGCAUUGACGAUCCCAGGCUAUACAUUCAGGUACUGGGAAAUGCUUUUAUCUUGCAGGCCAGUUUUACAUUUAUUUCUCAAUAACAAGAUGACCGUGAACAGGGUAUCAAGGUAUUUGCCUUGGCAUUACUAAUGUCGUGUUCAGAUUACUAAAAGAAGGAUUGAUAGCGGCAUACCUUAACUCGACUGAUGCUUUAACUGCUGCCUCUCUAAGCCUUGAUUAGCCAUGGAGAUACUCAAGUUCCAAAGCCCCAAGUGAGGCUAUCCUUCUAAGAUCCGUUCAUCCCAAUUCAUUAAUUUGUUUGAAAUAUAUAUGUAUAUUCCAAUAUUGCUCAAUCUCCAGCUGGCCUCUAGGUUAUCAGAUGAAAUCCGGUUAAAUUUUAGGGAGGUUGAGUAGGAGUGUUUGGAACUAAAGGCUUUGUUGUUGUUGUUUGAGUAGGAGUAUCUCCCUUUUCUGUAUAAAUUUUGUUGCUAUGAAUAGUUGCAUUGUUAUGUCAGUGAAAAUUUUCUGGGCGUACUAUGUGUUCCUCUAGACUUGGUUGAAAGUAUUCCUUCUGUUAUCCAGUUUCUCACUACGCAUGUUACCUUUGUUGCUGAAUUUUGCCUAUAGUUUAUAUAUAGUAGACUCGCAUGAUUACCUGAUGACUCAUUCACGCAAGAACUAUUGUUAAUUUUUUCCUUUUCUGCAAUGAUGGUCGUAGCCCUUUGAUUCUACCAGCCGCAAAGGAGUGAAGUGUAGAAAAUAUGUCCAUUGUCGUUGAAUUGGUGGGAUUGUCACCAAGUUAGUGCUGCAGAUUUCUAUUUUAGAGCAAGAAGCCAAAUCAUGUAGUUUCAUUGUAAAUCUUGAAAAACUUGUUUAUUGUCACUUCUAUAUCUGUUACAAGCUUUUUUCGUGAUGUGGUACUUGUCAAUCUUGGUUUGCCCUUCCAUUUCAAGUCUGCCCUUAAAUUCCAGCAGACCAAAAAGUUCUUGUUUCUUCAAUUGGUUUCUCAUUCAUGUUUGCACUUCUAUUACUGUACAAUAUUUCAUAAACAUGGCAUUGGUCAUUAUUUGUCCAGUUCCCUUCAAAAAAAAGAGAUGGCUAUAGAGAGUUGAUCCUUCUACAUAACAGAGCAGAGGAGUGGGAACUAUAAACAUGCCUCACUGAAGAGAUGAAAAAUGUUGUGCAAGGCAUUGGUUGUUAAGCUCCUUUAAAAAAUGAAGGAAUUAUAGUGCAUCUGACCUAUAAAGGGGUUGUGAGGGACAAAACACUAUGGAUUCAGAGUAGUGGGAGGGCACAGUUUACCUUGAUUCCAAAGUUCCAGCUUACAUAGCAGAAUUGUAUAGAGAGGAUGCCUGCAUUUUGAAAACUCGGUUACAUAGUUUGAGGCUAUGUUUCUUUCAAUUUUCAUUAUUAAAAGGAUCCUUAUUAUUGCCAAAUUGUCAAUUAUUUUCAAAUAGCUCUUGGUUUGAAAUGGGACCAUGUGCCAUCUGGCGCAAUGGGUACUGUUAUUAUACAUUCUAUUAUUGACAGCAAGCCUUCAUUGUUUUUUAUUGAGGACCCUCGGGUUAAAUUUGUUACCCCAUGGAUUUCCUUUUCAACGCCCACAUUAAUUUAGCUGGUCCCUGCCAUAUGUCCUUGCAAAAUGAAACUAUUUUCAUCGACAACAUGUCUUUAGUAGGUCUCUGCGUCAUUUGGCGCAACGGGUCAACUAGUUGUGAUUAAUUUCACGUGCAUGUAUUACACAGAUUUAAGGGUUCAGAUUUGAAGAGUGUAACUGCCCGGCGGGACAUAAGACUCUAACAGCCAUAUUUGAUUGUGUGCAAAUUCUCUCGAAUUAUGUUUGAUCAUGUGACCAACUUGGCUUGAUUGCUGAUGGAAGAUGAUUUGAUUCCCGUAAUGUGGUCUCUCCAAUAAAGAUGGUCCACCAUCCAAGAAUAUGUGAACAAGUUUUACGACCACUAUGCUUCCGUUUCUUGGCCGAAAUCAAAGUCGGGUUGGAGUCCAAAGUCACAUGGUGUUGGCCGCAGCUUUGUUCCAACAAGUCGAAAAGAAGCCAUUCGGUUUUAGUCAUUAUUGGAUUAAACUGAAUGGCCUACCAAAAUGGUAUCAAGUUGUGGAAUACCUCAAGAAAGGCACCAAGAGGUUGAAGACAAAUGAUGGCUCAAGCUCUCACCAAUCCAUUGGAGUGGAUGAUGAAGAGGAAGAAGUUGUAGGGGAGAAUGAAAGAGCUACCGUGCUAAAUAAUAACUUGAAGAGAUGACAAACGAGUGGGAGAAGGGGAGGUCCGCCCGUGACGCCACGGCGACAAAUAUGUCCACCAUAAAUGAAAAAAAAAUCACAAGGGAGAACAAGAAAGAGGGGAGGCACAAAUUCAUGUUGGAUGCACAAAAAUAAAAGAUGGUGAACAACAAGUUUCAAGCUAAGAGCAACAAGUCGGAAAUUGAGAAGAAAAAGAUAGAGUUUGAGAACUGAGAGGUGUGUAUUGAAUGAGAGCUUGAGAAGGCCCGAACUUUUGUAUCAAUAGAGCUUGAGAAGGAGAUGUUGUAACUUGUUCGACUCAAGGAGGAUUUGAUGAUUA